UACGAAGGGGACUAGCGUUGUUCGGAAUCACUGGGCGUAAAGCGCACGUAGGCGGCUUGUUAAGUCGGGGGUGAAAUCCUGGAGCUCAACUCCAGAACUGCCUUCGAUACUGGCGAUCUCGAGUUCGGGAGAGGUGAGUGGAACUGCGAGUGUAGAGGUGAAAUUCGUAGAUAUUCGCAAGAACACCAGUGGCGAAGGCGGCUCACUGGCCCGAUACUGACGCUGAGGUGCGAAAGCGUGGGGAGCAAACAGG
rnacentral:rRNA from 1 species